GACGAACGCUGGCGGCGUGCCUAAUACAUGCAAGUCGAACGCUGAAGCUUGGUGCUUGCACCGAGCGGAUGAGUUGCGCACGGGUGAGUAACGCGUAGGUAACCUGCCUGGUAGCGGGGGAUAACUAUUGGAAACGAUAGCUAAUACCGCAUAACAGUAGAUAUCGCAUGAUAGCUACUUGAAAGGUGCAAAUGCACCACUACCAGAUGGACCUGCGUUGUAUUAGCUAGUUGGUGAGGUAACGGCUCACCAAGGCAACGAUACAUAGCCGACCUGAGAGGGUGGUCGGCCGCCCUGGGACGGUGACACGGCCCAGACGCCUACGGGAGGCAGCAGUAGGGAAUCUUCGGCAAUGGGCGGAAGUCUGACCGAGCAACGCCGCGUGAGUGAAGAAGGUUUUCGGAUCGUAAAGCUCGGUUGUAAGAGAAGAAAGAGUGUGAGAGUGGAAAGUUCACACUGUGACGGUAUCUUACCAGAAAGCGACGGCUAACUACGUG
rnacentral:rRNA from 1 species